AAUUAGAGGAAGUAAAAGUCGUAACAAGGUCUCCGUAGGUGAACCUGCGGAGGGAUCAUUACACAAAUAUGAAGGCGGGCUGGAACCUCUCGGGGUUACAGCCUUGCUGAAUUAUUCACCCUUGUCUUUUGCGUACUUCUUGUUUCCUUGGUGGGUUCGCCCACCACUAGGACAAACAUAAACCUUUUGUAAUUGCAAUCAGCGUCAGUAACAAAUUAAUAAUUACAACUUUCAACAACGGAUCUCUUGGUUCUGGCAUCGAUGAAGAACGCAGCGAAAUGCGAUAAGUAGUGUGAAUUGCAGAAUUCAGUGAAUCAUCGAAUCUUUGAACGCACAUUGCGCCCUUUGGUAUUCCAAAGGGCAUGCCUGUUCGAGCGUCAUUUGUACCCUCAAGCUUUGCUUGGUGUUGGGCGUCUUGUCUCUAGCUUUGCUGGAGACUCGCCUUAAAGUAAUUGGCAGCCGGCCUACUGGUUUCGGAGCGCAGCACAAGUCGCACUCUCUAUCAGCAAAGGUCUAGCAUCCAUUAAGCCUUUUUUUCAACUUUUGACCUCGGAUCAGGUAGGGAUACCCGCUGAACUUAAGCAUAUCAAUA
rnacentral:misc_RNA from 1 species